rnacentral:rRNA from 1 species
UACGUAGGGUGCAAGCGUUGUCCGGAAUUAUUGGGCGUAAAGAGCUCGUAGGCGGUUCGUCGCGUCGGCUGUGAAAUCCCGAGGCUCAACCUCGGGUCUGCAGUCGAUACGGGCGGACUGGAGUUCGGCAGGGGAGACUGGAAUUCCUGGUGUAGCGGUGAAAUGCGCAGAUAUCAGGAGGAACACCGGUGGCGAAGGCGGGUCUCUGGGCCGUAACUGACGCUGAGAAGCGAAAGCGUGGGGAGCGAACAGG